UACGUAGGUGGCAAGCGUUGUCCGGAUUUACUGGGCGUAAAGAGCGCGCAGGCGGUCGUUCAAGUCGCGUGUGAAAGCCCCCGGCUCAACUGGGGAGGGUCACGCGAUACUGAUCGACUCGAAGGCAGGAGAGGGAAGUGGAAUUCCCGGUGUAGUGGUGAAAUGCGCAGAUAUCAGGAGGAACACCGGUGGCGAAGGCGCUGCUCUGGGCCGAUACUGACGCUGAGGAGCGAAAGCGUGGGGAGCGAACAGGA
rnacentral:rRNA from 1 species